CAAACAAGCAAUCAAACAAACCCCCUCAGCAUCUGCAGACACUCCUCCAGCCGCUCCACCUGCACGAACACACACAUAUGCGGCCCGGCGUUCGCUCUCCGCACGGGUUUGAUGGCAUCGCACACUGUGAUUGAUUCUUGAUGGGCGGUACGGCGCGGCUGCUGUUUUUAAAUCCCGAUCAGAUUUGCUUACACUGCCAUUUUUAUAGCCCACAGCCAACAGCUGACACCGCAGGUACACUCUGACUGCGUGUGUGUGAGUGAGUGUGUGCGCGCGAUACGCCGCCACAAACGCUCUAAGUGCUCCCGUUUAAUAACAGACGGUGAUAAUUUAAGAUGCAUCGGUGGAGAACAGAGCACAAAUCACGGCGGUGACGGCUCCGCGGAGACAAAAUGGAAGGAAGGGCAGUAGAGAGAUAAAUCACACCGGGAGGGAGAAAGAAAGAAAAAAUCACGGGAGAAGCGGAUGGGGAUAAAAACAAGGCCUCCCUGCCGCGGUGUGUUUGUGUGUGUGUGCUUUUAUAUGAUCACUGAUGAACAGACUGUGAUGUCUCUAGUGAACGCCAGGCUCGGCACGCGCUCCCUCCUGUACAGUGUUUACAAUGAUCAUUACUGCUUCACUGCUAUUAUAAUGAUGACCACAGAGACCAGGCUGCUUUCCCCAUUGAGACUUCUCUCUCUGUCUGUCAAUGACCCACUCAUACAGAACCGAGCGCAGGGCCUGCUGGUGCUUUGGACCGAGGAGGUCUGUAAUACCUGGAGAAAGCUGUUUGUCAGCAUGCAUGGCUGGAGAAUGCUCGAGUAUGCGCUGUGUGGAAAUCCAAUCCAAGCUAAAGCUACUUUGGGCCUCUCCCUCGCCGUGUGCCCUUUGUAAAGCAGGAUUUGGUGUAAAUGCUCCUCUCCUGAUCUGUUUCGUACUCAACGUCAACCCGUAACGGGGCAGCCACCGACAACUGCCUGGAGAUUAGCUGGCACACCAGCUUAAACCCACAGACUUGCUCAAAUGAAGCUCAUUUUAAAACAGUCCUAUGGAUUUUCCUGAAGACUGGCAGAUUAUUUGGAAGAAUCCCGUUAAAAGGAUCUGUGUUUGAAUGUUCCAUGUCAUACCUCUGUCAAUCACCCUGGGCAUUUGCAAAUCCUGUCAUGUCUGCAAAGGAUGUGGUAUUGCCGGUCACACUAAAUGCAAUGUAGGAAGGAAGUGUCUGAAAUGUAAAACAUUAAAUGUAAAACCAUAUACAUAAUUAUAGAGUGGUAAAAGUAGCUCUGAAAUACAUUUGGCUUCCUGCAAUGGAUGAAUGUAUUAUUUUACAUUUAUUUAAGUGGGUGAUUUGUAUGAAUAGAUGUUUAAACUUAAUGGUAUUUUUAAUAAAACUAAU
rnacentral:lncRNA from 1 species